UACGAAGGGGGCUAGCGUUGUUCGGAUUUACUGGGCGUAAAGCGCACGUAGGCGGCUUGUUAAGUGAGGGGUGAAAUCCUGGAGCUCAACUCCAGAACUGCCUUUCAUACUGGCAAGCUAGAGUCCGGAAGAGGUGAGUGGAACUCCUAGUGUAGAGGUGGAAUUCGUAGAUAUUAGGAAGAACACCAGUGGCGAAGGCGGCUCACUGGUCCGGUACUGACGCUGAGGUGCGAAAGCGUGGGGAGCAGACAGG
rnacentral:rRNA from 1 species